rnacentral:ncRNA from 1 species
UCCUUGGCGACGAGGAAUCUGAAGGAAGCCGGCGGCAAACUUCUGGUCUGACGAAUAGAAAUCACAUCAGGCAUACGUAUGCUGGGUAAGGUUACAACUCAAACUGAAGCCCUAAACUAUCCGGAAGUAUACGGUGUAAAUGUGGCAGAUAGAUGGAAGGAAAGACUGCGUU